rnacentral:tRNA from 35 species
AUAUUGGGACGGUCUCGAAAACCGGAGUAGGGGCAACUCUACCGGGGGUUCAAAUCCCCCUCUCUCCGCCA